rnacentral:rRNA from 1 species
AUGCAAGUCGAGCGGGGGAAGGUAGCUUGCUACCGGACCUAGCGGCGGACGGGUGAGUAAUGCUUAGGAAUCUGCCUAUUAGUGGGGGACAACAUCUCGAAAGGGAUGCUAAUACCGCAUACGUCCUACGGGAGAAAGCAGGGGAUCUUCGGACCUUGCGCUAAUAGAUGAGCCUAAGUCGGAUUAGCUAGUUGGUGGGGUAAAGGCCUACCAAGGCGACGAUCUGUAGCGGGUCUGAGAGGAUGAUCCGCCACACUGGGACUGAGACACGGCCCAGACUCCUACGGGAGGCAGCAGUGGGGAAUAUUGGACAAUGGGGGGAACCCUGAUCCAGCCAUGCCGCGUGUGUGAAGAAGGCCUUAUGGUUGUAAAGCACUUUAAGCGAGGAGGAGGCUACUUUAGUUAAUACCUAGAGAUAGUGGACGUUACUCGCAGAAUAAGCACCGGCUAACUCUGUGCCAGCAGCCGCGGUAAUACAGAGGGUGCGAGCGUUAAUCGGAUUUACUGGGCGUAAAGCGUGCGUAGGCGGCUUAUUAAGUCGGAUGUGAAAUCCCCGAGCUUAACUUGGGAAUUGCAUUCGAUACUGGUGAGCUAGAGUAUGGGAGAGGAUGGUAGAAUUCCAGGUGUAGCGGUGAAAUGCGUAGAGAUCUGGAGGAGUACCGAUGGCGAAGGCAGCCAUCUGGCCUAAUACUGACGCUGAGGUACGAAAGCAUGGGGAGCAAACAGGAUUAGAUACCCUGGUAGUCCAUGCCGUAAACGAUGUCUACUAGCCGUUGGGGCCUUUGAGGCUUUAGUGGCGCAGCUAACGCGAUAAGUAGACCGCCUGGGGAGUACGGUCGCAAGACUAAAACUCAAAUGAAUUGACGGGGGCCCGCACAAGCGGUGGAGCAUGUGGUUUAAUUCGAUGCAACGCGAAGAACCUUACCUGGCCUUGACAUACUAGAAACUUUCCAGAGAUGGAUUGGUGCCUUCGGGAAUCUAGAUACAGGUGCUGCAUGGCUGUCGUCAGCUCGUGUCGUGAGAUGUUGGGUUAAGUCCCGCAACGAGCGCAACCCUUUUCCUUACUUGCCAGCAUUUCGGAUGGGAACUUUAAGGAUACUGCCAGUGACAAACUGGAGGAAGGCGGGGACGACGUCAAGUCAUCAUGGCCCUUACGGCCAGGGCUACACACGUGCUACAAUGGUCGGUACAAAGGGUUGCUACACAGCGAUGUGAUGCUAAUCUCAAAAAGCCGAUCGUAGUCCGGAUUGGAGUCUGCAACUCGACUCCAUGAAGCCGGAAUCGCUAGUAAUCGCGGAUCAGAAUGCCGCGGUGAAUACGUUCCCGGGCCUUGUACACACCGCCCGUCACACCAUGGGAGUUUGUUGCACCAGAAGUAGCUAGCCUAACUGCAAA